AAAGACUCGUGGGAAUAUUUCUGAUUUUUUAAGAUUUUUUAUAAAUUUUUUCGGUCUAAAAUUUAAGUGGCGUAAUUAGUGCUAAUUACGCAAGGUGGUAUGCACGGUGAUUUUUCGUUUUUUUUUUUUAUCUUUUUUAAUUUUUCUUUAAGAGAAAGCUUUUUAAAAACUUAAAUUAAAGUGUGUUUGUAGGCGGAAACGAUGUUGGUCGUUAUUAAAUAUUAAUUUAGUUGGGAUGGAUAGGUGGAUAUUUAGAUGAGAUUGUUUGAUGGACAGUUCACAGUAAAAAAGGAACGGAAAGAAAAUAAUGUAUGUCUUGAAAGAUAUUUGUAGUAUGAAUAAAAAUAGGAUGAAGUGCAAAUUUAAAAUCUCCGUUUUUAGAAAAUAAACUAAGUUUCCAAAUCUUUUUUAAAGUAGGUCCCGUCUGGUACUCCCUUCUAGAAAUCAGGAUAAAAAUUUUUUCAGAUGUUUUUUAUAUUUCUAAAACUCUUUAUCUCAUUAAAUUUUCGAUGAUACAAUUUUUCCUAAUACUCGGACUUAUGAUGAAAUUUAAUUUUCUAAUGUGGAUAACACCACUUAAGACACAGUGUUGGUGCACAAGACCCUCUUGGCGUACAGUUUUCAGAGAACCUCGCUCUAACGCCGCAAAGCACCUCUGGCUAUCAAUGGCGAAAAUUACAGAGCAUUUUUUCUCUUAUCAAAUCUGCCAAGCAUAUAUGCUUUACACUUGCUUAAGCUGAAAUAAUUAUCCAGAGAGAACCCAUAAAUUUUCAUUAAGAGUCCAAGGAAAGGGAAUCAUGGGGCAAAGAAAAUGCCAUGGAUAGAAGAGUUCGAGAAAUAUAAUAUUAAACAAGAAAUAAAACUUACAUCACAACGCUAGAAGGUUUCCCUUCCGGGACUUCCCGGGGGGAAAGAAAGGACUUGUUUGUACAGACUCUUCACGCCAGAAUGCAGUUGAGAAAAAGAUAAAUUUUUACAGGAAGGGAAGGAAAAUAAAAGCUAUUGGGGAUUUAUUUGUGGAGCUGGGAUGCUAUAUUUAACAAGAGGCUAGCUUCAUUCUUCACUUGUCGUCGAAAUGAUCUUCCUUUUAGCUUCAGCGCAAUUUUUACAUAAGGCAGGGACUAAGUAGGAUUUUCUCUAAUGCUUGGAGAGAGCUUGCUUGAUUUCUAUCUGCGCUAUCUCCUUAUCCUGCUUGGAGAGGAGGAGGGGGUUCUUCCUUUAUAGCCGAAGGAAGAGGUGGUUUGGGAGGAGAAUACUGCGGCCGUUGAAGUCCUUGAUAAAACUUGUGCUAAUCCCCGCUCCUAUGGGGAUCUUUAAACCCGCUCCUAUGGGGACUUGUUAGCACUAUAUCAAGGCCAGGCCGUGUUUAGAGGCCAGGCAAUCACGGGCCGAUUACUGCUGGUGAAACUUCACUAAUUUUCAUUUACCCCAUGCAGUAUAGUGCUAACAAGUUAGUUAGCACGUAUAGUCCUAACUAACUUGUGAUAUUUCCUUAAACGGCCCAUAGUAUUAAAGGUGAAGGCGUCUAUGUCAAAAGCGUCUUCGACUGUAAUUUCCAAAAAUCUUCUUCUUCCAAUAUGAACGAUAUUGUAUCGCCAGUUAAAUUGUCUUGGGCUUGUAGUAUUUUCACUAUAGUCUGAACUGUCUUCGUCACUAUUGUUAUUGUCUUCUGAUUGUCUUAAAUUUUCGUUGUCGUUGUCGUUAUUAUCGGCUUCGUAUUCCUCGUAGUCUGGCAAUAUUUCGUCUUUGUCUUGAUUAGCCAGUGUGUUAAUUAUUGUCUAAAGAUUUGAAAUACAAGAAAAGGGUCUAUUUCCCAAAGCUGAUAUAUAAGGUGUAUAAUGCUAAUUAAAAUAUGGAGUGGAACUCCUAAAGAUAAAGAAUUUAUAAUAAAAGUUUGUAAAAGGUAGGGAGUGUAAAGAAAGUCUAGAAUUGGUUCAAUGAGAUAAUACAAGCAUACUAAAAGGAAUCUAAAGAUUGAUUCGUUUAGUAAAAAUAAUGCUAUGUCUUUAUCCAGUUUUGAGAGUCUUAGAAUAAAAUUAUUAUUUUCUUCCAAUAUAUCGAAAAGGCCAAGUAAUAAGGUAUGGGGCAAAAGUUUCCCAAUAUAUUAUUAAUAUAUCUAAAAUAUUAUAUAUGAUGUCUUCUGGAAAUCCUAAGAGAAGUAAGGUUAAAAUGAAAGUUGUUAGGGAAAAAGGUUGGUCUGUGAUGUUACGGAAAAGUUGAUCUAUAUUGUUAUCUGGAGCCUUUCUUUUUGGCAUAAAAUCAAUAAUGUGGUUGCAUUGAGGAUAAAUCUAAAAAAGAUUUACUAUUAUCAAUAAUGUGGUUGUAUUCACUAUUAUCAAUAAUGUGGUUGUAUUAAAGGAAGAUUUGUCUUCGUUUCUUUUCUCUGUCUUGUUUAAAAGAAAACGAGGCUGUUGAAUUGAUUGUAAAAGUUUAUUAAAAUAACUAAGUGAUAAAGCUAAUUAGUCUUAGUGUACCAAGAAAGUCUUGGCUCUGAUACCAAACAGGGGGGAAGGUAACAACAGGGGGCUAGAGAGUUUAGGCUUGGCUAGUUCCAAGCUUAAGGUUUUAGGGUUUAGGGUUUAGAAGAAGGUGUUUAGAAGAGGGUGCGGAAAUGAUUUUUAAACACAAACUACAAGUCUGUUGUUAUAAAAACCCUUAGAAUAAAACCCUAGGAAGUAUGGAGAAAACCCUAGUCUAUUUAUGAAAACCCUAAGGUAUGAGGAAAAACAAACCUUUGAAAGAAGCAAAAACCUAAAAGAGAUUUUUAAAAUAUUUUUUGGGAUUUUUUAGGAUUAUGCGGAAAUAGUAGAGUUGGGUCAGAUUAUGUAAUAUACUGAAAAUUAAAUAUUUGAAAAUACCGAUUAAAAAAGGAUAAGUGCAAGAAAGAGAAAGUUGGAUUUUUAACAAUUUUUUGGGUAUUUUUUGAGAAUUUUUCUGAUAUAGCUAGAAAUAUUUCUUGGGUAUUAAAUAUUUCUGAUUUUUUAAGAUUUUUUAUAAAUUUUUUCGGUCUAAAAUUUAAGUGGCGUAAUUAGUGCUAAUUACGCAAGGUGGUAUGCACGGUGAUUUUUCGUUUUUUUUUUUUAUCUUUUUUAAUUUUUCUUUAAGAGAAAGCUUUUUAAAAACUUAAAUUAAAGUGUGUUUGUAGGCGGAAACGAUGUUGGUCGUUAUUAAAUAUUAAUUUAGUUGGGAUGGAUAGGUGGAUAUUUAGAUGAGAUUGUUUGAUGGACAGUUCACAGUAAAAAAGGAACGGAAAGAAAAUAAUGUAUGUCUUGAAAGAUAUUUGUAGUAUGAAUAAAAAUAGGAUGAAGUGCAAAUUUAAAAUCUCCGUUUUUAGAAAAUAAACUAAGUUUCCAAAUCUUUUUUAAAGUAGGUCCCGUCUGGUACUCCCUUCUAGAAAUCAGGAUAAAAAUUUUUUCAGAUGUUUUUUAUAUUUCUAAAACUCUUUAUCUCAUUAAAUUUUCGAUGAUACAAUUUUUCCUAAUACUCGGACUUAUGAUGAAAUUUAAUUUUCUAAUGUGGAUAACACCACUUAAGACACAGUGUUGGUGCACAAGACCCUCUUGGCGUACAGUUUUCAGAGAACCUCGCUCUAACGCCGCAAAGCACCUCUGGCUAUCAAUGGCGAAAAUUACAGAGCAUUUUUUCUCUUAUCAAAUCUGCCAAGCAUUUAUGCUUUACACUUGCUUAAGCUGAAAUAAUUAUCCAGAGAGAACCCAUAAAUUUUCAUUAAGAGUCCAAGGAAAGGGAAUCAUGGGGCAAAGAAAAUGCCAUGGAUAGAAGAGUUCGAGAAAUAUAAUAUUAAACAAGAGAUAAAACUUACAUCACAACGCUAGAAGGUUUCCCUUCCGGGACUUCCCUGGGGGAAAGAAAGGACUUGUUUGUACAGACUCUUCACGCCAGAAUGCAGUUGAGAAAAAGAUAAAUUUUUAUAGGAAGGGAAGGAAAAUAAAAGCCAUUGGGGAUUUAUUUGUGGAGCUGGGAUGCUAUAUUUAACAAGAGGCUAGCUUCAUUCUUCACUUGUCGUCGAAAUGAUCUUCCUUUUAGCUUCAGCGCAAUUUUUACAUAAGGCAGGGACUAAGUAGGAUUU
rnacentral:lncRNA from 1 species